ACUUGUUCCGCUGUAGCAGCACGUAAAUAUUGGCGUAGUAAAAUAAAUAUUAAACACCAAUAUUAUUGUGCUGCUUUAGCGUGACAGGG
ncrna:Bos taurus (cattle) microRNA bta-mir-16b precursor